UACUGCUCCUUCAACCAUUUCUUCAAUCCGGAUUCCUUUGCCAGUUUCCUCCCGAGACUAAAACAUGGCAUUCCAGUUAUUCUCCCAUCAAGUAAGUGCUUUUUUCUUUAACUAGAGCUUUCUUUGCGAGACUAUGUGCAUGUAUGUUCUCUGAUCUGUGGAUGUGCUGAAAAGUAAGUUCUUGAAAACAGGAUUUCUUAGUCUAAAUAUCUCUAAUAAUGGCACCGAUCACAGAUUUGUCUGUUGAAGUCGCCUGGCUCUUUUUUAUAACUGUUUUAGAGUCCCCUAUGAUUCUAACUGAUUGAGUUCUUAGUGCAAUCCCUAAUUUUGUGCCUUCUAAACAUGCAUAUGCCUCUGCUGCGAAUGGUGAGGGGAUAUUUCUAUGGAUAACCGUCUUUAACACCAGUAAGUCCCCCCUCAUAUCCCAACCUACUAAGCCAAUCGCUGAUUUAAAGGUUCUACUGUCCAGCGCUACAUCAAAUUGGAUCGUUAUUCUAGCAUUCGACAAUCAUUAACCACAAAGCUGAAUUACGAGAGGUUUUCAUUGUUUGAACGAAGGGCAAGCACAACUUCCCUACAAUCGGUUUCCACGACAAUAUUGUCCAUGCCCUGGUCUUUAAGCCAUUAAAAGGCUUCCUGAAUAGACAUGAAUUUAGCGAGGCAAGCAUCACAAGAAAUGAGGAUGAAGCCCGAUAAAGCUUGUACAACACCCCAUGCUUGUUCCAAACCACCACAACAAAGUGAAUAGUCUGCCGAUCCAAAGGGAUUGCAUCGAUGUUACAUUUGCAGAUACCAACUGGAGGAGGUGACCAAGCAGUAGUAGCUUCAGGUCGAGGAGGAGUAUGCUACUGCACUAGACAAUAAGUUGAAUGAGAGGCAUGCAACCUUGGAGGUAUUGAUAAAAAAGUUAUAAAUUUGUGUCA